rnacentral:rRNA from 1 species
AUUGAACGCUGGCGGCAUGCUUUACACAUGCAAGUCGAACGGCAGCGGGGUAGUGCUUGCACUACUGCCGGCGAGUGGCGAACGGGUGAGUAAUAUAUCGGAACGUACCGAGUAAUGGGGGAUAACCAAUCGAAAGAUUGGCUAAUACCGCAUACGUCCUGAGGGAGAAAGCGGGGGAUCGCAAGACCUCGCGUUAUUCGAGCGGCCGAUAACUGAUUAGCUAGUUGGUGGGGUAAAGGCCUACCAAGGCGACGAGCAGUAGCGGGUCUGAGAGGACGAUCCGCCACACUGGGACUGAGACACGGCCCAGACUCCUACGGGAGGCAGCAGUGGGGAAUUUUGGACAAUGGGGGCAACCCUGAUCCAGCCAUGCCGCGUGUAUGAAGAAGGCCUUCGGGUUGUAAAGUACUUUUGUUAGGGAAGAAAAGGGAAGUGCUAAUACCACUUUUUGCUGACGGUACCUAAAGAAUAAGCACCGGCUAACUACGUG